UACGUAGGGGGCCAGCGUUGCUCGGAAUUACUGGGCGUAAAGGGUUCGUAGGCGGUGUGGCAAGUCGGAAGUGAAAUCUCUAGGCUCAACCUAGAGGCUGCUCCCGAAACUGCCAUGCUAGAGUGCGGGAGAGGCGAGUGGAAUUACAGGUGUAGCGGUGAAAUGCGUAGAUAUUGGGAGGAACACCAGUGGCGAAGGCGGCUCACUGGACCGGAACUGACGCUGAGGCGCGAAAGCGUGGGGAGCAAACGGG
rnacentral:rRNA from 1 species